UUCAGUGAAAUCGAGUAGGGCGGGACACGUGAUAUCCUGUCUGAAUAUGGGGGGACCAUCCUCCAAGGCUAAAUACUACUGACUGACCGAUAGUGAACCAGUACCGUGAGGGAAAGGCGAAAAGAACCCCUGUGAGGGGAGUGAAAUAGAACCUGAAACCGUGUACGUACAAGCAGUAGGAGCAGGCUUGUCCUGUGACUGCGUACCUUUUGUAUAAUGGGUCAGCGACUUAUAUUCAGUGGCAAGGUUAACCAUCUAGGGGAGCCGUAGGGAAACCGAGUCUUAACUGGGCGUUCAGUCUCUGGAUAUAGACCCGAAACCAGGUGAUCUAGCCAUGGGCAGGUUGAAGGUUGAGUAACAUCAACUGGAGGACCGAACCGACUAAUGUUGAAAAAUUAGCGGAUGACUUGUGGCUAGGGGUGAAAGGCCAAUCAAACCUGGAGAUAGCUGGUUCUCCCCGAAAGCUAUUUAGGUAGCGCCUCGGACGAAUACUACUGGGGGUAGAGCACUGUUAAGGCUAGGGGGUCAUCCCGACUUACCAACCCUUUGCAAACUCCGAAUACCAGUAAGUACUAUCCGGGAGACACACGGCGGGUGCUAACGUCCGUCGUGGAGAGGGAAACAACCCAGACCGCCAGCUAAGGUCCCAAAUUACUACUAAGUGGGAAACGAUGUGGGAAGGCUCAGACAGCCAGGAUGUUGGCUUAGAAGCAGCCAUCAUUUAAAGAAAGCGUAAUAGCUCACUGGUCGAGUCGGCCUGCGCGGAAGAUGUAACGGGGCUAAGUAGUAAACCG
rnacentral:rRNA from 1 species